rnacentral:rRNA from 1 species
CCCCAGUAAACGGCGGCCGUAACUAUAACGGUCCUAAGGUAGCGAAAUUCCUUGUCGGGUAAGUUCCGACCCGCACGAAAGGCGUAACGAUUUGGGCACUGUCUCAACAACAGACUCGGUGAAAUUGUAAUUCCGGUGAAGAUGCCGGAUACCUGCGACAGGACGGAAAGACCCCAUGGAGCUUUACUGUAGCUUGACAUUGGGUCUUGGUACUACAUGUACAGGAUAGGUGGGAGGCUUUGAAACCAGGACGCCAGUUUUGGCGGAGCCAUCCUUGGGAUACCACCCUUGUAGUACUGGGACUCUAACCAUAGGCCAUGAAUCUGGUCUUGGGACACUGUCAGGUGGGCAGUUUGACUGGGGCGGUCGCCUCCCAAAAGGUAACGGAGGCGCUCAAAGGUUCUCUCAGUACGGUCGGAAAUCGUACGUAGAGUGUAAAGGCAAAAGAGAGCUUGAUUGCAAGACAUACAGGUCGAGCAAGGAUGAAAAUCGGACUUAGUGAUCCGGUGGUUCUGCGUGGAAGGGCCAUCGCUCAACGGAUAAAAGCUACCCUGGGGAUAACAGGCUUAUCUCCCCCAAGAGUCCACAUCGACGGGGAGGUUUGGCACCUCGAUGUCGGCUCAUCACAUCCUGGGGCUGUAGUAGGUCCCAAGGGUUGGGCUGUUCGCCCAUUAAAGUGGUACGCGAGCUGGGUUCAGAACGUCGUGAGACAGUUCGGUCCCUAUCCGUCGCAGGCGUAGGAAAUUUGAGAAGACCUGUCCUUAGUACGAGAGGACCGGGAUGGACGUACCUCUGGUGUACCAGUUGUCCUGCCAAGGGCAUGGCUGGGUAGCUAUGUACGGAAUGGAUAAGCG